rnacentral:rRNA from 1 species
UACGGAGGGUGCGAGCGUUGUCCGGAAUCACUGGGCGUAAAGGGCGCGUAGGUGGUGGCUUAAGCGUGCGGUGAAAGCUCGGGGCUCAACCCCGAGUCGGCCGUGCGAACUGGGCUCACUGGAGCAUAGUAGAGGCAGGUGGAAUUCCGGGUGUAGCGGUGGAAUGCGUAGAGAUCCGGAAGAACACCGGUGGCGAAGGCGGCCUGCUGGGCUAUGGCGUGACACUGAGGCGCGGACAGCGUGGGGAGCAAACAGG